rnacentral:rRNA from 1 species
CUUGGCCAAACUUCCUUGUCAAAGCCUGAUCUCAUCAGAUCUCAGAAGCUGAGCAAGGCUGGGCCUGGUUAGUACUUGGGGAUGGGAGACCGCUGGGAAUUCCAAGUGCCAUUUUGU